rnacentral:rRNA from 1 species
AUUGAACGCUGGCGGCAUGCCUUACACAUGCAAGUCGAACGGCAGCACGGGUGCUUGCACCUGGUGGCGAGUGGCGAACGGGUGAGUAAUACAUCGGAACGUACCUUAUCGUGGGGGAUAACGCAGCGAAAGUUGCGCUAAUACCGCAUACGCCCUGGGGGGGAAAGCGGGGGACCGUAAGGCCUCGCGCGAUUAGAGCGGCCGAUGUCUGAUUAGCUUGUUGGUGAGGUAAAAGCUCACCAAGGCGAUGAUCAGUAGCUGGUCUGAGAGGACGAUCAGCCACACUGGGAAUGAGACACGGCCCAGACUCCUACGGGAGGCAGCAGUGGGGAAUUUUGGACAAUGGGGGCAACCCUGAUCCAGCAAUGCCGCGUGAGUGAAGAGGGCCUUCGGGUUGUAAAGCUCUUUUGUCAGGGAAGAAACACCGGCUCUAACACAGUCCGGGAAUGACGGUACCUGAAGAAUAAGCACCGGCUAACUACGUGCCAGCCGCCGCCGUAA